rnacentral:rRNA from 1 species
AUUGAACGCUGGCGGCGUGCCUUACACAUGCAAGUCGAACGGCAGCGGACCUUCGGGUGCCGGCGAGUGGCGAACGGGUGAGUAAUAUAUCGGAACGUACCUUUCAGUGGGGGAUAACGUAGCGAAAGUUACGCUAAUACCGCAUAUUCUGUGAGCAGGAAAGCAGGGGGAUCGCAAGACCUUGCGCUGAUUGAGCGGCCGAUAUCAGAUUAGCUAGUUGGUGAGGUAAAGGCUCACCAAGGCGACGAUCUGUAGCGGGUCUGAGAGGAUGAUCCGCCACACUGGAACUGAGACACGGUCCAGACUCCUACGGGAGGCAGCAGUGGGGAAUUUUGGACAAUGGGCGCAAGCCUGAUCCAGCCAUGCCGCGUGAGUGAAGAAGGCCUCGGUUGUAAGCUCUUUCGCCGGAGAAUACGCACAGGUUAAUACC